AAGUUGUUGCGGUUAAAAGCUCGUAGUUCGAGCUCAGUUCCGGACUGGCCGGGGAGGUCACCGCCCGGUGCUUCCCCGUCAGGCUCCGAACAGCCUUCGUGAGCGGAGGCCAAGCCGGUUCUGCCGGGGUGCUCUUUACCGAGUGUCCCGCGCUGCCGGCCAGUUCACCUUGAAUAAAUGAGAGUGCUCAAAGCAGGCUCAUUAUAAAUACAAUGCCCGAAUGUUACCUGCAUGGAAUGAUGGAAGAUGAUCUCGGUUCCAUUUUAUUGGUGGUGGGAGCCCGAGGUAAUGAUAAACAGGGACUGUCGGGGGCAUCCGUACUACGACGCGAGAGGUGAAAUUCAGUGACCGUCGUAGGACGAACAACAGCGAAAGCAUUUGCCAAGAAUGUCUUCGUUGAUCAAGAACGAAAGUUAGAGGAUCGAAGGCGAUCAGAUACCGCCCUAGUUCUAACCCUAAACGAUGCUGACUAGCAAUUCGCCGUCGUUAUUCCCAUGACGUGGCGAGACGCCCCCGGGAAACCUUAAGUCUUUGAGUUCCGGGGGUAGUAUGGUUGCAAAACUGAAACUUAAAGGAAUUGACGGAAGGGCACCACCAGGAGUGGAGCCUGCGGCUUAAUUUGACUCAACACGGGAAACCUCACCAGGCCCGGACACCAGAAGGAUUGACAGAUUAAGAGCUCUUUCUCGAUUUGGUGGGUGGUGGUGCAUGGCCGUUCUUAGUUGGUGGAGUGAUUUGUCUGGUUAAUUCCGGUAACGAACGAGACUCUGGCCUACUAAAUAGUCGACGGGCGUUUUGGUGCAUGGGCCCCGUUCGACACAGUCUUCUUAGAGGGAUGAGCAGCGAGUAUAGCUGCAGGAGAUUGAGCAAUAACAGGUCUGUGAUGCCCUUAGAUGUCCUGGGCCGCACGCGCGCUACACUGAAUGGGUUAGCGGGUUGUCCUUCUCCGAGAGGAGCGGGAAAUCGCUUGAAAACCAUUCGUGAUAGGGAUUGGGGCUUGCAAUUGUUUCCCAUGAACGAGGAAUUCCCAGUAAGCACAAGUCAUCAGCUUGUGUUGAUUAAGUCCCUGCCCUUUGUACACACCGCCCGUCGCUACUACCGAUUGAAUGAUUUAGUGAGGCCUUCGGACUGGCGGUCUUGGACUGGGGCGCCGGCGUUCUCCAGCAAUGGGGUGCCGGUGACCCGCCUAGACGGGCCGGAAAGAUGUCCAAACUUGAUCAUUUAGAGGAAGUAAAAGUCGUAACAAGGUUUCCUAGG
rnacentral:rRNA from 1 species